ACACGCAUGACACACUGCAUAUCAAUAAGCGGAGGAAAAGAAACUAACAAGGAUUCCCUUAGUAACGGCGAGUGAAGCGGGAAGAGCUCAAAUUUGAAAUCUUCAAGGGUUUACCUUUACGAAUUGUAGUUUAAAGAAGUGUUUUCUGUUGAAGUUUUGGUAAAAGUUCUUUGGAAUAGGACAUCAUAGAGGGUGAGAAUCCCGUAUUUGACCAUUAUUUUCAGCUGUGUGAUACACUUUCAAAGAGUCGGAUUGUUUGGGAAUGCAGUCCAAAAUGGGUGGUAAAUUUCAUCUAAAGCUAAAUAUUGGCGAGAGACCGAUAGCGAACAAGUACCGUGAGGGAAAGAUGAAAAGAACUUUGAAAAGAGAGUUAAACAGUACGUGAAAUUGUCAAAAGGGAAGCGUUUGACACCAGUGUUGUUUUCUCGAAAAUCAAUUAAAAAAGGCCGGAUUUUGUGUUGUAUUGACCUUAAAAGCUUUCUUCACUCUUUUCUUGUCUUUUUUAAUGCACUUUUCGUUUAACAAGUCAACAUCAGUUUCUUUUGUUGUAAAAGGGUCAUUGGAAGGUGGCUUUCUUUUCGGAGAAAGUGUUUAUAGCCUUUGAUCUCUGCAACCGGAGAGACUGAGGUCUGCAGCGUAGACUCUUCGGGGUUAGAUACAUUUGUGCUAAGCUAUAGCUUUUUAUAGACAACUUGUUGACUAUAUCUAGUCUUGUGGCUUACUCGCUUAUGCUAUUUUACCUACGCUUAGGAUGUUGAGCGCAUGUCUCUCUCU
rnacentral:rRNA from 1 species